rnacentral:rRNA from 1 species
AUUGAACGCUGGCGGCAGGCCUAACACAUGCAAGUCGAACGGUAACAGGAAGAAGCUUGCUUCUUUGCUGACGAGUGGCGGACGGGUGAGUAAUGUCUGGGAAACUGCCUGAUGGAGGGGGAUAACUACUGGAAACGGUGGCUAAUACCGCAUAACGUCGCAAGACCAAAGAGGGGGACCUUCGGGCCUCUUGCCAUCGGAUGUGCCCAGAUGGGAUUAGCUAGUAGGUGGGGUAACGGCUCACCUAGGCGACGAUCCCUAGCUGGUCUGAGAGGAUGACCGGCCACACUGGAACUGAGACACGGCCCAGACUCCUACGGGAGGCAGCAGUGGGGAAUAUUGCACAAUGGGCGCAAGCCUGAUGCAGCCAUGCCGCGUGUAUGAAGAAGGCCUUCGGGUUGUAAAGUACUUUCAGCGGGGAGGAAGGGAGUAAAGUUAAUACCUUUGCUCAUUGACGUUACCCGAAGAAGAAGCCCCGGCUAACUCCGUG